UUGGGAAAUAUGAAUGAGGAUCAAAUAAAUUAUGAUCUUGAGGUGUGUAGAUUUACUUUCUUUAGGGCGUGUUUGGUUUGGACUAUUCUGCCAGGAUUAUAGGCAGUCCUACUCGGAUUACUACGUUUGGUUCAUCCAGUCUGUAAUGUAAUCGGUAAUAUAGCAUUAUAAAUGGAGCAGGAUUUACUCCAAAAAUAUUAUCGAGCAGGGUGCGGAUAACACAUAUUACUCAUGGCAGGUUAUCUUGCAUGUUAUUUAAAAUUACAAAUUUAACACUCCAACAUCUCGCGCUAUCAAUAUGUCGUUUUUAAAUUUUUACUUAAAAUUUUCAAUUAUCAAAUUUUUAAUUUUAAUUUUAAUUUUUCAAAUUUUUAUUUUUUAUUUUCAAAUUUUAAAUUUUAAACUUUUUAAUUUAUAAAUUUCAAAUAUAAAAUUUUAAAUUCUAAAUUUCAAUUUUAAAAUUUAAAUCGUAAAAUUUCAAUUUUCAAUUUUUAAUUUCUAAUUUUCAAUUUUCAAUUUUCAAUUUUAAAAUUUUCACAUUUUAAAUUUUAAAUUUAAAUUUCAAAUUUCAAAUAUCAAAUUUAAAACUUAAAUUUUCAAUAAUAAAAUUUUAAAAUUUUAAAAUAAUAAAAUUUUAAAUUUUAAAAUUUAAAACUUAAAUUUUAAAUUUUAAAAUUUUAAAUUUUUAAAAUACUAAAAUUUUAAAUUUUAAAAUUUAAAAUUUGAAUUUGAAAUUUAGAUUUUAGAAUUUUAAAUUUUAAAUGUCAAAUUUAUAUUUUAAAUUCUAAAUUUUAAAUUUAAAUUUUAAAUUUAAAUUUUAAAUUUUAAAUUUAUAUUUAUAUUUUUAAUUUAUUUUUUAAUUUUUAAAUUUAUAAAUUUUAUAUUUAUAUUUUUAAAUUAAAAUAUUAAAUUUUAUAUUUUUGUCUAGAUUUAAAAUUUAAAAUUCAAAUUCAAAUUCAAAUUUUAAAUUAUUUAAAAUAAAAUUUUGUAAAAAAAUUUUUACUUGUAAACAGUAAAAAUUUUUGCCACAUUAGACUAAAGGGCAAUUGUCACGCCCCAGAUUACAUGGUUUUCCGGGCACGCCAACAGACCUGCCAUAUACAAUGAAAUUUUCUUCUGUAUACGAAGCGAAGCUAUACUAAAUUAUAAUCAAACAACACUACAACCAGUAGUAUAGAGCUGCUAAAAAAAUAAACAGGUAAAACUGAAAGCAAGUUUCAUAUACAUACAUAAUAUUUAGAUACAAAAGUACUCGCUCCAGCGAAUUAUAAUAUCUGUAUGUACAUGAACUCAAAAAUAAAAGAACCACUACCUGCUAAAGAU
rnacentral:lncRNA from 1 species